GCAUCCAUCGCCGAAUGGUUAAAGCACCCAACUCAUAAUUGGCGACUCAGGUUCAAUUCCUACUGGAUGCA